AGUGAACGCUGGCGGUAGGCCUAACACAUGCAAGUCGAACGGCAGCACAGUAAGAGCUUGCUCUUACGGGUGGCGAGUGGCGGACGGGUGAGGAAUACAUCGGAAUCUACUUUUUCGUGGGGGAUAACGUAGGGAAACUUACGCUAAUACCGCAUACGACCUACGGGUGAAAGCAGGGGAUCUUCGGACCUUGCGCGAUUGAAUGAGCCGAUGUCGGAUUAGCUAGUUGGCGGGGUAAAGGCCCACCAAGGCGACGAUCCGUAGCUGGUCUGAGAGGAUGGACAACCCCACUGGGAAAGGAGAAACGGCCCAGAACCCAAGGGGGGGCAGAGGGGGGAAAUAUGGGAAAAUGGGGGAAAGCCUGACCCAGCCAAACCGGGGGGGGGAAGAAGGCUUUCGGGUUGUAAAGCCCUUUUGUGGGGAAAAAAAAGCAGCAGGUUAAAACCCCGCUGUUUUGACGGUACCAAAAAAAAAAGCACCGGCUAACUUGGG
rnacentral:rRNA from 1 species